rnacentral:lncRNA from 1 species
UCGGACUCCAACCCAUCUUGUUGCUGAGAGGAGGACCUCAGGUGGUACUCGUUUGCUCGUUUGCAGGAAGCUCAUAAAUGCUGCUGAGGAGGCGGGUAUACUAAUUAUCUUUUUAUUGUCGUUUGCGAAUGCAACCUCUGCCCCAGUGAUGUGCGGCUGAGCAGUCGAGGCAAGAAGCUGGUUUGUAGCAUAGACUACAGGACAGGUAUAGGAUGUGUGGCCAAUACAAUUAAUUCUUAUAGCGUCCUACGAAGCCGCGAUAGCAAGGGAAGAAUGAAGCAGGAAGCAUGGUCUUUCGACACGCAGACUCGAUGGACUUUUUCACGUGCUUCCCUUACACAUGUAAGGUGUCCCUUCAUAUUCUUUCCAUCUCCUGAAAGGUAAAUAUCGUAGCUGACUUCGUCAGCUACAAUCCUAGUCUACUAUAUAAACGCGAGGGCGAACGGCUAGCUGCAUUUCCCACGCAACACAUCAUUUUCUCAUGGUGACCACAUGCGCAUGGUAAGAGACUAUGCGUCCUAAACCAUCCGCCUGGAAACAUCAUUUUGUUACAACAUAGUCGUUUCCUGUACCAGCGCGCGCGUGACGGUCCUGCCAGUUGUAUCGUGCUUGGCUAGUCAUAGCCAACAUUGUUUGUGCUUCUCUCGUGCUAGAAGACUUGCGCUCGUAUAAUGCGCUCAUCUCGUGCAAGACGAUUGGAGAAGCGUAUUAUACACAUACCCCGACUUGAAACGAACGUCCUUGACGGACACGUAAGAAAAAAGCUGUCAGUUUUUAUUGACUAUUGCCAGAGUGCAUGGCGAACCACCCGCAUCCACCCAUUGUUAUCGAUCCGCAUUGCGCUAUUCGCAUAUUGGUCCAUUUUGCGAGCCAUCCAAACGCAAUUACUUCUCCACGAACUUUGCAGAUGCCCACCGUUCUGACGGCAUCGCGUGUACAUGCUAUCUUCAAUAUCGUAC